AGAGCUUGCUCUCUUGAAGUUAGUGGCGAACGGGUGAGUAACGCGUAAUCAACCUGCCCUUCAGAGGGGGAUAACAACGGGAAACCGUUGCUAAUACCGCGUACGAUUCAUAGGCGGCAUCGCUUGUGAAUGAAAGGUGGCCUCUAUAUAUAAGCUAUCGCUGAAGGAGGGGAUUGCGUCUGAUUAGCUAGUUGGAGGGGUAACGGCCCACCAAGGCAAUGAUCAGUAGCCGGUCUGAGAGGAUGAACGGCCACAUUGGGACUGAGACACGGCCCAAACUCCUACGGGAGGCAGCAGUGGGGAAUCUUCCGCAAUGGACGAAAGUCUGACGGAGCAACGCCGCGUGAGUGAUGAAGGUCUUCGGAUUGUAAAGCUCUGUUAAUCGGGACGAAAGAGUUCUGUGUGAAUAAUGCAGAAAAGUGACGGUACCGGAAUAGAAAGCCACGGCUAACUACGUGCCAGCAGCCGCGGUAAUACGUAGGUGGCAAGCGUUGUCCGGAAUUAUUGGGCGUAAAGCGCGCGCAGGCGGCCUAUCCAGUCUGUCUUAAAAGUUCGGGGCUCAACCCCCGUGAUGGGAUGGAAACUAGUAGGCUAGAGUAUCGGAGAGGAAAGCGGAAUUCCUAGUGUAGCGGUGAAAUGCGUAGAUAUUAGGAAGAACACCAGUGGCGAAGGCGGCUUUCUGGACGAAAACUGACGCUGAGGCGCGAAAGCCAGGGGAGCGAACGGGAUUAGAUACCCCGGUAGUCCUGGCCGUAAACGAUGGGUACUAGGUGUAGGAGGUAUCGACCCCUUCUGUGCCGGAGUU
rnacentral:rRNA from 1 species